rnacentral:tRNA from 1 species
GGCCUCAUCGUCUAACGGUUCAGGACAGCAGGUUCUCAUCCUGCAAAUCGGGGUUCGAUUCCCCGUGAGGUCACCA